GGGUGCAACUCCCAUACAAAGGAAAAUAACAUACAACUAGCGUCAUCUUACUCCUGUGGCGACGUCAUUUUUGUAACUUUUAGGCAUUAAUGAUCUAAUAAACUCACUAGAUGGCAGAUAUGAGUUCUGACUCAAUAAAAAAUGUAGCGUACUUUGAAGCAGUGCUUCCACUUUUAGGGAAUUCUCCCUUUUUUAGGGAAAAAUAGCUGAUAUUUUGGAUGAUAAAGACAAUUUAAAAAAUACCAGGAUUUAGGAUAUUUCGGGGUAAAAAGCAAAGCCUAUACUAGUAACUGUUGUGAAUUUUAAAAUAAACGAUAAUUAAAGUAAAACAAUGAACAUUUUAUUUUAUGGAGAGAGAAUGACAUUAAGUCGAGUUGACAAGUAAAAGAAUAAAACAGAGUUGUGUAUAAAAACUAUAAAGGUUUGAUUCAACAGUAACCCUCUAGUAAAGUAAAUCAUAGAUUAAGCCACUGCUUUUUCUUAGGGAUUCCCCAGAAUCCCAAUAAGUAUAAUCCGCCAAAUUUUUAUUUACCUAUUUUCGUUGAUGUCACCAGAACUUACUUGUAUUGUAAUAUACAGGUACUUCAUGUACCAUGAAAUAUUAUCAUGGUAAUUUCAUUUACGAAAACCUUGUAAUUGUCAUUUCACUUUUGCUAGCAGUUCCUUCUUCAAAGACUGAGGUGGAAAGAUUAUUCAGUGUUCUCAAAUUUAAAAACUGACAAAAGAAACAGGCUUUCUAAUGAAACCCUGAACGGCUUGCUUCAUAGAAAGUGCCCAACUUUGCCAGCAAACAAUUGCUCAAUUUUAGAACCGAACAGUGUUAGGUUGUGCAGCAAAAGAAUAUAAAAGCAAUGCGUCGACUUCCUUGAAAAUUCUAAUCCUAUAGAUCUAUGAUCUUCUGGGGGCGUUUAUAUUAUAUAUACCUACAUUAAAUAAUAUGCUGUGGUUUAUUUUCUGUAUUUUAUUUACGCUUUCUAUAUAAAGGAUUUAUGAAAGUUGUCUAGGAAAUUUUAGGGUAAAUUCAAAAGAAACUAGGGUAAAAUGUGUUAAAAAAAACGUAAGUGGAAACACUGCUUUGAAGUUUUCAAAAUUCCAGGGCCGUAAAACAAUCUCAAAAAAAAAAAAAAGUUUUCAAAAUGUCGUAACGAUUUAAUUUUUUAAAUCGUUUUUUUUUGGUCUUGGUAAUGUUUAUUAUUAAAAAUCAGCAUGCCUCGAAGAUCGAAAAUGAAAUGCUAUUUCGGAUGCCUUGAUAACGACAAAGGUUUGAUAAUGACAAAAUUUUAUGGAAAAAUUAUAAGGAGCACUAAAAUGUCUGAAACAUGAAAAGAUUGAUGCACUAUAUUUGAACCAGAACGUGUUAUGUAAUAUAUUAAUUUAAGAGAAACUGAUUCAGCAAGGAACGUGAACUCUCAAGGGAUCUUAAUUUUUUUUAAAUAUGUUUAUAAUUGAUAAAUUAAUAAUUGAAAUAGUUCAUAAGAACUAAAUUGAUGCCAAUUUUGUUUUAAAAUAGGUUGUUUAGUUCUUAUAGUUAUAGUAUUACGUUUGAAUAGUUGUAAUUAGUAAGUUAGUAAUAUAUGAAAAUACUGAUAUAAAUUUUUGUAAAUAACCUUUUGUAAAUUCUACGAGAAGAUGAUUUUAAUUAAUGAUCAAAAGUCAACGGUCUUUAAAAGCAUUAUUUGCAAUUAUUUAGAUUAACUGUGGAAUAUAUUUGCUAAGUUGUGUUUUCUGUAUGAGCAGAUAUAAAUGAAAAUGCCCAAACAUGAUUAUGUUUCUUACAUUUUCAUUAUGUGAAAUCAAUAUGCUUGUGACUGAGUAUAUUAAUAAUUUAUUAAAACUUAAGUGAUAGACAGCAACCCCUAUGGCACUGCUGAAGUUUAUAAGCACUGGUGACCACUUAUCAUGGGCCGGGUUGCGUGCUCGUCUGCUGUUGAGUGCAAUAAAAAUUUUCGAAACCCUUUCUAUUAUUUAGAUGUAAUAUUAGUGUACAUUUAAUUUGGAUUAAAAGAUAAAUUUACAUUUUAUGUUUGCAUGUGUAUGUUUAUAAUUCAUUUGCAUGUAACGAACACCAGUUUCUUUUGUAACAAAAUGGUUUGUAAUGAAUGUAAUUAACUUUAAGAUGAUUUUCUUUCAAUCUGCUGUUUGUUUCAUCUAGUAUUACCAAAGCUAAAGCAUCAGAAACGUCAGAAUAGAAAUAAUUUAGAUAGGGAAUAAAAGUAUAACUAAUGUAAUCAUGUCUAAGAUUACUAUAAGCGUCAUUAAGUACAAACUAUCAAUAUUUAAGAGUACUUUAAAUCAUCAUUACAUUUUUUAAACAUUUUUUGUUUUUCAAAUCAUGUAAUAAAACGUUUGUGCAGAACAAAAUGUCACAUGUUAUGAACAUGAUUGUGGGUUAAUCGUUUCUUAAAUUUCUAAAUGUUUAUAAGAAUGCUAAGAAUAAUUUAGUAUUCACUUUAGUGUGUGUAUUAUCUCUACAAUGCUAGUAUAAAUGACAAUUAUUGUAUGACGAAGCAUAGGUAGUGUUUAUAGAUGUAAUAUUUUCAUACAAGGUCAUGAUCUGUCACGAUCAACUUUAAGCAAGAACUGCUAUAGUUAAGAAACAAAUUUAUUAAAUUUAAUUCAAAUUGUCUACUAUGUUUGUAAUGGAAAGCUGACAUGUUUAUAUUUCGCACAAAUGACUUAAGUGACAUUGAAUGAUUUGAUUAUCUAGACUUAAUUAACUUUUAUUUCGAUUUAAUGUUAUUAAGUACUCUAGUAGGAUUAAUCUAGAGGAGUUAUUGUUAUUCGAAAUUUUAUACAAUUGUACGUUCAUACUAUCUUUUAACAGUAAAUUGUUUGUAAUAUAGGGAAAUUAAAUAGCUUACAGAGAAUUACAGCUUUUUAUGUAAAAAAACUGUUUUCUCUCUGUAUGAAAAGGUCUUAUCGAUUAGAAUGCUGAACACAAUCAAACGUUCUUUAAUAUUUCAUAAGUACUACCGGGAAUUUCAGCGAUUCUAAACGAUAAGAUUUUUUCAUAAAGAGAGUUAAUUAUAAAAAAUAUUAAAAUUACUAAAAAAGCCACCUGGUGGGGGGUAGGGAGACUAAUAAUCGACAGCAGCGACGCCUGCUGUCCUGGGCUCUAACUAAAGCAAAAAUAAAAAUGAGAGUUGCGCAUCUAUCUCAAAUAUAUUAAGUGUAUAAUCCAGGGGGGUGCAACUCCCAUACAAAGGAAAAGAACAUUCAACUAGCGUCAUCUUUAGGAACCGGCGAGGUCAUUUUUGAAACGUUUUGGCCUUAAUGAACUAAUAAACUCACUAGAUGGCAGAUCCGAGUUCUGACUCAAUAAAAAAUGUUAGCGUACUUUGAAGCAGUGCUUCCACUUUUAGGGAAUUCUCCCUUUUUUAGGGAAAAAUAGCUGAUAUUUUGGAUGAUAAAGACAAUUUAAAAAAUACCAGGAUUUAGGAUAUUUCGGGGUAAAAAGCAAAGCCUAUACUAGUAACUGUUGUGAAUUUUAAAAUAAACGAUAAUUAAAGUAAAACAAUGAACAUUUUAUUUUAUGGAGAGAGAAUGACAUUAAGUCGAGUUGACAAGUAAAAGAAUAAAACAGAGUUGUGUAUAAAAACUAUAAAGAAGGUUUGAUUCAACAGUAACCCUCUAGUAAAGUAAAUCAUAGAUUAAGCCACUUCUUUUUUCUUAGGGAUUCCCCAGAAUCCCAAUAAGUAUAAUCCGCCAAAUUUUUAUUUACCUAUUUUCGUUGAUGUCACCAGAACUUACUUGUAUUGUAAUAUACAGGUACUUCAUGUACCAUGAAAGAUUAUCAUGGUAAUUUCAUUUACGAAAACCUUGUAAUUGUCAUUUCACUUUUGCUAGCAGUUCCUUCUUCAAAGACUGAGGUGGAAAGAUUAUUCAGUGUUCUCAAAUGUAAAAACUGACAAAAGAAACAGGCUUUCUAAUGAAACCCUGAACGGCUUGCUUCAUAGAAAGUUCCCAACUUUGCCAGCAAACAAUUGCUCAAUUUUAGAACCGAAUAGUGUAAGGUUGCGUGCAGCAAAAGAAUAUAAAAGCAAUGCGUCGACUUCCUUGAAAAUUCUAAUCCUAUAGAUUUAUGAUCUUCUGGGGGCGUUUAUAUUAUAUAUACCUACAUUAAAUCAUAUGCUGUGGUUUAUUUUCUGUAUUUUAUUUAUGCUUUCUAUAUAAAGGAUUUAUGAAAGUUGUCUAGGAAAUUUUAGGGAUAAAUUCAAAAGAAACUAGGGUAAAGUGUGGUAAAAAAAACGUAAGUGGAAACACUGCUUUGAAGUUUUCAAAAUUCCAGGGCCGUAAAACAAUCUCAAAAAAAAAAAAAAAGUUUUCAAAAUGUCGUAACGUUUUAAUUUUUUAAAUCGUUUUUUUUUGGUCUUGGUAAAGUUUAUUAUUAAAAAUCAGCAUGCCUCGAAGAUCGAAAAUGAAAUGCUAUUUCGGACGCCUUGAUAACAACAAAGGUUUGAUAAUGACAAAAUUUUAUGGACAAAUUAUAAGGAGCACUAAAAUGUCUGAAACAUGAAAAGAUUGAUGCACUAUAUUUGAACCAGAACGUGUUAUGUAAUAUAUUAAUUUAAGUGAAACUGAUUCAGCAAGGAACGUGAACUCUCAAGGGAUCUUAAUUUUUUUAAAAUAUGUUUAUAAUUUAUAAAUUAAUAAAUGAAAUAGUUCAUAAGAACUAAAUUGAUGCCAAUUUUGUUUUAAAAUAGGUUGUUUAGUUCUUAUAGUUAUAGUAUUACGUUUGAAUAGUUGUAAUUAGUAAGUUAGUAAUAUAUGAAAAUACUGAUAUAAAUUUUUGUAAAUAACCUUUUGUAAAUUCUACGAGAAGAUGAUUUUAAUUAAUGAUCAAAAGUCAACGGUCUUCAAAAGUAUUAUUUGCAAUUAUUUAGAUUAACUGUGGAAUAUAUUUGCUAUGUUGUGUUUUCUGUAUGAGCAGAUAUAAAUGAAAAUGCCCAAACAUGAUUAUGUUUCUUACAUUUUCAUUAUGUGAAAUCAAUAUGCUUGUGACUGAGUAUAUUAAUAAUUUAUUAAAACUUAAGUGAUAGACAGCAACCCCUAUGGCACUGCUGAAGUUUAUAAGCACUGGUGACCACUUAUAAUGAGCCUGGUUGCGUGCUCGUCUGCUGUUGAGUGCAAUAAAAAUAUUCGAAACGCUUUCUAUUAUUUAGAUGUAAUAUUAAUGUACAUUUAAUUUGGAUUAAAAGAUAAAUUUACAUUUUAUGUUUGCAUGUGUAUGUUUAUAAUUCAUUUGCAUGUAACGAACAUCAGUUUCUUUUGUUACAAAAUGCAAACUAAUGGUUUGUAAUGAAUGUAAUUAACUUUAAGAUGAUUUUCUUUCAAUCUGCUGUUUGUUUCAUCUAGUAUUACCAAAGCUAAAGCAUCAGAAACGUCAGAAUAGAAAUAAUUUAGAUAGGGAAUAAAAGUAUAACUAAUGCAAUCAUGUCUAAGAUUACUAUAAGCGUCAUUAAGUACAAACUAUCAAUAUUUAAGAGUACUAUAAAUUAUCAUUACAUUUUUUAAACAUUUUUUGUUUUUCAAAUAUGUAACAAAACGUUUGUGCAGAACAAAAUGUCACAUGUUAUGAACAUGAUUGUGGGUUAAUCGUUUCUUAAAUUUCUAAAUGUUUAUAAGAAUGCUAAGAAUAAUUUAGUAUUCACUUUAGCGUGUGUAUUAUCUCUACAAUGCUAGUUUAAAUGACAAUUAUUGUAUGACGAAGCAUAGGUAGUGUUUAUAGAUGUAAUAUUUUCAUACAAGGUCAUGAUCUGUCACGAUCAACUUUAAGCAAGAACUGCUAUCGUUAAGAAACAAAUUUAUUAAAUUUAAUUCAAAUUGUCUACUAUGUUUGUAAUGGAAAGCUGACAUGUUUAUAUUUCGCACAAAUGACUUAAUUGACAUUGAAUGAUUUGAUUAUCUAGACUUAAUUAACUUUUAGAUAACUUUCGAUUUAAUGUUAAUAAGUACGCUAGUAGGAUUAAUCUAGAGGAGUUAUUGUUAUUCGAAAUUUUAUACAAUUGUACGUUCAUACAAUCUUUUAACAGAAAAUUGUUUGUAAUAUAGGGAAAUUAAAUAGCUUACAGAGAAUUACAGCUUUUUAUUUUAAAAAACUGUUUUCUCUCUGUAUGAAAAGAUCUUAUCGAUUAGAAUGCUGAACACAAUCAAACAUUCCUUAAUAUCUCAUAAGUACUACCGGGAAUUUCAGCGAUUCUAAACGAUAAGAUUUUUUCAUAAAGAGAGUUAUUAAAAAUAUUAAAAUUACUAAAAAAGCCACCUGGUGGGGGGUAGGGAGACUAAUAAUCGACCGUAGCGACGCCUGCUGGACCGGGCUUUAACUAAAGCAAAAAUAAAAAUGAGAGUUGCGCAUCUAUCUCGAAUAUAUUAAGUGUAUAAUCUAUGGGGCCAAGAUAGCGCUCUGCGAUAGUUUCGAAUUAAUUUAAAUUAAAUAAUUAAAUAGAAUAUCCCUGUAACUAUGUAUAUAAAGUUUUCAUACUGAAUACAAUCCUCCUGUUCUUUAGAACACUGUCAUGUAAAUAUUUAUAGUUAUUUAGAUAUUUUUCGUUAAAAAUGGAUAUGAACAACCCUCCAAAUCAAAGCUAUUGGUUUGUACUUAGAGAAGAUCAGAGCAAUGUGAUACUUAGUACCAAUAAUUUUGUUAAUCAAAAUCCCCAAAUUCCACUUCAAGAGACAAGAUACGUAGUAGAAACAGGAGAAAAUAGACAAUUUAUCCACAUAAAUGAACCUCCGAUAAUCGUACAAGAACAUGAUAGCCAACCACAAGAAAAAGUUUGUAGUACUACUAAAGACGUCUUUUGGGAUAGAAGCAAAAUAAGACUACUCCUUAAACUGUGCCUAGAAGACAGAUUCAAAAACAUAAAUAAACAAAAAACAUUAUGGCAUGACAUUGCAUCGCAUGUAGGUACUACUGCAGAUGAAUGUUGUAAAAAAUACAGAAAUUUAAGGAGAACUUAUAUUAGGCUCUUAAAAAAGAAUAGGUUAGGCAAAGAAAUCAAAUGGGUGCAUUAUAAUACAUGUGAAGAAGUUUUCAAAGAGUGUAAAUCACUCCCCUCUUCUUUUCUAGAAACUUGGGAUGAUCAAAAAGUAAGAAAACUCUUACUUUUAUAUAUUGAAAAUCUUCACCGUUUAAGAAGCUCAACUUGCCUACAAAAAGAUAUUUGGAAAGAAAUUGCAUUAGAAAUUGGCACAACAGAAUAUAACUGCUAUCACAAGUUUAAAAACAUGAAAAGAGCUUAUUUAAAUUGGUUGGAAAGAAGCAAGGACACAGGAAAACCAAUAAAGUGGCCUUACCAUCACUUUUUUGAACGAAUAUAUUAUAAUAGCAACCCUAACACUGGUCCUUGGAAUCGAACAAAGAUUAGAUUGUUAUUGGAUGCAUACAUAGAGAGACUAAACAAGUUUAGAAACCCAAGAUAUUUAAAAAAAGAAUUGUGGAAAGAGAUUUCAGAAACAGUAGGAGAAAAUCCACCAGAUUGUGAAAAAAAAUUUAGAAAUCUAAAGCAGACCUAUAUCAGAAUUCGGUCAAAAGUUGAAUCGGGGUUAGCGGUCACAAAGUGGCGAUAUUACAAAGAUUUCGAAGAAAUUUACGGUCAUCAAACAUAUUGCACUACUAAUAACGUUAAAUUAGUUUACAAACCAAAUAGAGAUGAUUAUGUAAGACAAUUACUAUUAUUUUAUAUUGAAAAUGUAGAUAAAUUUAGGGAUCCUCUAAUAAAAAAACGCACUUUGUGGAAGAAACUUAGUCCGCAAAUUCUAUUAUCACCAGACGAAUGUGAUAGGAAGUUUAGAAAUUUAAAACAAACUUACAUCCGGUUAAUAGAAAGAAAAAGAGAAACUGGUAAAAAUACCAAAUGGCCGUAUUUCUCAUACUUCGAGAAAAUAUUUGAUGUUCCAAAUCAAAAUGCCCGCUCUGUAGACAAUUUGACAAUCCACGAAAUUAAAAGGGUUGUCCAAGAAAUGCAAGAUGUAAGGGAUACAAGUAAGUUUGAUAAACUAGUACAGUCUAUGGAAGAGUCCAACAUGAUACAGAGAGAACGCAAUAAAAUAUUACUUGCCCUGUUAAACCGAAAUUAAAGUAAAAGGAGGAAAAAUAAAAGUUACGUCAAUGUUUAGAAA